rnacentral:rRNA from 1 species
ACGGCUCAGUAACACGUGGCUAAUCUGCCCUUAGGACGAGAACAACCCCGGGAAACUGGGGCUAAUUCUUGAUAGGUGAAGAACUCUGGAAUGAGUCUUUGCCUAAAUGGAUUCACGUUAUCCUCGUGAAUUUGCCUAAGGAUGAGGCCGCGACCGAUCAGGUUGUUGGCGAGGUAAUGGCUCACCAAGCCUUUUACCGGUGCGGGCCGUGGGAGCGGGAGCCCGGAGAUGGGUACUGAGACAAGGACCCAGGCCCUACGGGGCGCAGCAGUCGCGAAACCUUUGCAAUACACGAAGGUGUGACAGGGCUAUCCCGAGUGCCAUCCGCUGAGGAAGGCUUUUACCCAGUCUAGAACGCUGGGGGAAUAAGGAGAGGGCAAGUCUGGUGUCAGCCGCCGCGGUAAUACCAGCUCUCCGAGUGGUGUGGAUGUUUAUUGGGCCUAAAGCAUCCGUAGCUGGCUAAGUCAGUCCCUUGUUAAAUCCACCGAAUUAAUCGUUGGAUUGCGGGGGAUACUGCUUGGCUAGGGGACGAGAGAGGCAGACGGUAUUUUCGGGGUAGGGGUGAAAUCCUAUAAUCCCGGGAAGACCACCAGUGGCGAAGGCUGUCUGCUAGAACGCGCCCGACGGUGAGGGAUGAAAGCUGGGGGAGCGAACCGGAUUAGAUACCCGGGUAGUCCCAGCUGUAAACGAUGCAGACUAGGUGUUUGGACGGCCACGUGCCGUUCUAGUGCCGCAGGGAAGCUGUUAAGUCUGCCGCCUGGGGAGUACGAUCGCAAGAUUGAAACUUAAAGGAAUUGGCGGGGGAGCAC